rnacentral:rRNA from 1 species
GACGAACGCUGGCGGCGUGCCUAAUACAUGCAAGUCGAACGCUUCUUUCCUCCCGAGUGCUUGCACUCAAUUGGAAAGAGGAGUGGCGGACGGGUGAGUAACACGUGGGUAACCUACCCAUCAGAGGGGGAUAACACUUGGAAACAGGUGCUAAUACCGCAUAACAGUUUAUGCCGCAUGGCAUAAGAGUGAAAGGCGCUUUCGGGUGUCGCUGAUGGAUGGACCCGCGGUGCAUUAGCUAGUUGGUGAGGUAACGGCUCACCAAGGCCGCGAUGCAUAGCCGACCUGAGAGGGUGAUCGGCCACACUGGGACUGAGACACGGCCCAGACUCCUACGGGAGGCAGCAGUAGGGAAUCUUCGGCAAUGGACGAAAGUCUGACCGAGCAACGCCGCGUGAGUGAAGAAGGUUUUCGGAUCGUAAAACUCUGUUGUUAGAGAAGAACAAGGACGUUAGUAACUGAACGUCCCCUGACGGUAUCUAACCAGAAAGACACGGCUAACUACGUG